AAAGUGGAUGAAGACACCAUGG
rnacentral:miRNA from 1 species